rnacentral:rRNA from 1 species
GAUGAACGCUGGCGGCGUGCCUAAUACAUGCAAGUCGAGCGAACAGACGAGGCGCUUGCUCCUCUGACGUUAGCGGCGGACGGGUGAGUAACACGUGGAUAACCUACCUAUAAGACUGGGAUAACUUCGGGAAACCGGAGCUAAUACCGGAUAAUAUAUUGAACCGCAUGGUUCAAUAGUGAAAGACGGUUUUGCUGUCACUUAUAGAUGGAUCCGCGCCGCAUUAGCUAGUUGGUACGGUAACGGCUUACCAAGGCAACGAUGCGUAGCCGACCUGAGAGGGUGAUCGGCCACACUGGAACUGAGACACGGUCCAGACUCCUACGGGAGGCAGCAGUAGGGAAUCUUCCGCAAUGGGCGAAAGCCUGACGGAGCAACGCCGCGUGAGUGAUGAAGGUCUUCGGAUCGUAAAACUCUGUUAUUAGGGAAGAACAAAUGUGUAAGUAACUAUGCACGUCUUGACGGUACCUAAUCAGAAAGCCACGGCUAACUACGUG